rnacentral:rRNA from 1 species
UUCCGGUUGAUCCUGCCGGACCUGACUGCUAUCGGAUUGAUACUAAGCCAUGCGAGUCAUUGUAGUAAUACAAGGCAGACGGCUCAGUAACGCGUAGUCAACCUACCCUAUGGACGGGGAUAACCUCGGGAAACUGAGAAUAAUACCCGAUAGAACAUUAUGCCUGGAAUGGUUUAUGUUUCAAAUAAUUUAUUGCCGUAGGAUGGGACUGCGGCCUAUCAGUUUGUUGGUGAGGUAAUGGCCCACCAAGACUAUUACAGGUACGGGCUCUGAGAGGAGUAGCCCGGAGAUGGGUACUGAGACACGGACCCAGGCCCUAUGGGGCGCAGCAGGCGAGAAAACUUUGCAAUGUGCGAAAGCACGACAAGGUUAAUCCGAGUGGUUUCUGCUAAAGGAACCUUUUGUCAGUCCUAGAAACACUGAUGAAUAAGGGGUGGGCAAGUUCUGGUGUCAGCCGCCGCGGUAAAACCAGCACCUCAAGUGGUCAGGAUGAUUAUUGGGCCUAAAGCAUCCGUAGCCUGCUUUGUAAGUUUUCGGUUAAAUCCAUACGCUCAGCGUAUGGGCUGCCGGGAAUACUGCAAAGCUAGGGAGUGGGAGAGGUAGACGGUACUCGGUAGGAAGGGGUAAAAUCCUUUGAUCUAUUGAUGACCACCUGUGGCGAAGGCGGUCUACCAGAACACGUCCGACGGUGAGGGAUGAAAGCUGGGGGAGCAAACCGGAUUAGAUACCCGGGUAGUCCCAGCUGUAAACUAUGCAAACUCAGUGAUGCAUUGGCUUGAUGCCAAUGCAGUGCUGCAGGGAAGCCGUUAAGUUUGCCGCCUGGGAAGUACGUACGCAAGUAUGAAACUUAAAGGAAUUGGCGGGGGAGCACCACAAGGGGUGAAGCCUGCGGUUCAAUUGGACUCAACGCCGGA